AUGAACGCUGGCGGCGUGCUUAACACAUGCAAGUCGAACGGAAAGGCCCAAGCUUGCUUGGGUACUCGAGUGGCGAACGGGUGAGUAACACGUGGGUGAUCUGCCCUGCACUUCGGGAUAAGCCUGGGAAACUGGGUCUAAUACCGGAUAGGACCACAUUUUGGAUGGUGUGGUGGAAAGUUUUUCGGUGUGGGAUGAGCUCGCGGCCUAUCAGCUUGUUGGUGGGGUAAUGGCCUACCAAGGCGUCGACGGGUAGCCGGCCUGAGAGGGUGUACGGCCACAUUGGGACUGAGAUACGGCCCAGACUCCUACGGGAGGCAGCAGUGGGGAAUAUUGCACAAUGGGCGCAAGCCUGGUGCAGCGACGCCGCGUGGGGGAUGACGGCCUUCGGGUUGUAAACUCCUUUCGCUAGGGACGAAGCGCAAGUGACGGUACCUGGAGAAGAAGCACCGGCUAACUACGUG
rnacentral:rRNA from 1 species